rnacentral:rRNA from 1 species
CAGCAGCCGCGGUAAUACGGAGGGAGCUAGCGUUGUUCGGAAUUACUGGGCGUAAAGCGCGCGUAGGCGGUUACUCAAGUCAGAGGUGAAAGCCCGGGGCUCAACCCCGGAACUGCCUUUGAAACUAGGUGACUAGAAUCUUGGAGAGGUCAGUGGAAUUCCGAGUGUAGAGGUGAAAUUCGUAGAUAUUCGGAAGAACACCAGUGGCGAAGGCGACUGACUGGACAAGUAUUGACGCUGAGGUGCGAAAGCGUGGGGAGCAAACAGGAUUAGAUACCCGUGUAGUCCCUGUCUCUUAUAC